rnacentral:rRNA from 1 species
UUAAAUUGAAGAGUUUGAUCAUGGCUCAGAUUGAACGCUGGCGGCAGGCCUAACACAUGCAAGUCGAACGGUAACAGGAAGAAGCUUGCUUCUUUGCUGACGAGUGGCGGACGGGGGAGUAAUGUCUGGGAAACUGCCUGAUGGAGGGGGAUAACUACUGGAAACGGUAGCUAAUACCGCAUAACGUCGCAAGACCAAAGAGGGGGACCUUCGGGCCUCUUGCCAUCGGAUGUGCCCAGAUGGGAUUAGCUAGUAGGUGGGGUAACGGCUCACCUAGGCGACGAUCCCUAGCUGGUCUGAGAGGAUGACCAGCCACACUGGAACUGAGACACGGUCCAGACUCCUACGGGAGGCAGCAGUGGGGAAUAUUGCACAAUGGGCGCAAGCCUGAUGCAGCCAUGCCGCGUGUAUGAAGAAGGCCUUCGGGUUGUAAAGUACUUUCAGCGGGGAGGAAGGGAGUAAAGUUAAUACCUUUGCUCAUUGACGUUACCCGCAGAAGAA